GGAUUAGCGCCUUUAUGAAAGCCGUCUGAGGGAGCUCGCUGGCCCCUUUUCCCUUGCGAGUUGCAGCAUGUGGGAAUGCAGUGAGAAGUUACUAUCUAUUAGGAAGAGAUCCUCACCUAUUCCAAAUCUGCUGGUAUCUUGAUCUUGGACUUCUAGCCUACAAGACUGCAUCUGCAAAAUCACUGGAAGAGCUGCAGCCAGAAACCUCAAUGUUGGCGCUGAGAAAGGAAGUUUGGUGGAAGUCUGGAGAGAGCCAGUCUGGAACACCAGAGGGCAGGGAAGUCUUGGGAAACGCUUCUCUACACUGCACAGGGCUGGGAUCCAAGCUGGACUGCAUAACCUGGAGGUGCCUCUGGACAAGACCCCGUUGGAACAGCCCUCCAUGCCUGGAGAUUCCCUUCAACCCAAAUGCACAUAUCACCUCAUCUCACAACAAAUUUCACUGUCGUUCAUGUUUUAUUAGUAUAAGUGCCUUAAAAGCAGAUCAGAGAUUCAACUAAUUUGCUCAUUAGUAAAAGGAAAUUAGCCAUUUGAGAUCUGUUCUAAUAAAAUUAGC